CAAGGCCCCGUCUCGUUUUGCUAUAAGCAAGGGCGUGGCAAGGCACGCGGGGGGCCAAAAAAUCAAAGUGCUCCGAAAUGCACACGGGGGUGUCAAGUGUAACGACCCAAUUUUCAUAUUAUUAUUUUUAUGUGUUAAAAUAUUUUAUUAACGUGGAAUUUUAAUUAAGUUAAUAACUAGAGUUAUUUAUCGAGUACUUUAGUUAUUAAGCGAGUAGUGAGAGUUAACGUGUUAUUGGGCCAAGCCAAUUGGGCUUGAGGCCCAAUGGGCCUUGUGUGUGUGUGGAGCGCCCAUAUGGGCAUAAGUGAGGG
rnacentral:lncRNA from 1 species